rnacentral:sRNA from 1 species
CUUUGAUUUUUCUGAGUGCCACUGAGCGAGUAUUGUUUUAUACGUAUUUGAGAUCUGCGAUUUUGUUCAGCAGAGCUACAGGGUUAGAACACUGCGGCACUGAAGCGAAUCGAACAAAAUGGAUUUCAGACAUUGAUUUUUUGUAGCUCUCUUCACUAACUCCGCAAUGAUUACAACUGGUGAUAUUAUUUUCCCAGAGGCAAAGGAUAGAAGGAAAGUGCCUUCACAGAUUGUCAGGAUUGUGUUACUGCUAAGUUCUUUACCGUUUGUGUCGCAAUAAGGCGUUAUCUGGACGGGAAAACAUCGUUAUUACAUUAGGCGGGUUCCCGGACAAAUUGACAUAAUCUUCUUUAGCGAGUCCCUGAAAAGACAGAUGGAACUGUAGCUGUCUUUUGACACGUUCGGCCGGUGUCCGUCAUCUCGGCUCAUUUAGUUACAUACACAGUACAAUAAUAGCAACUGAUUGAGGGGAAACUAGUUUUAAUGAUCUAUCGACAUCACUACAGCUCGUUCACAUCAUAGCAACAAUAAAGUGGAACCCGAAUGCAGAAUAUCUUUCGUACCAUGUACAUGUAUAUUGCUAUUUGUUUGAAGAAUGCUGUAUCUAAUAUUCAAAAUAAAAAUCACU